ensembl:lncRNA
CUUGAAUCUACAAAGAAGCAGAUUUUGCUGCUCCAGAAAGAUGGGUUAUUUGUCCCCCCAAGGACAAAAGACAGUUUGGAAGAGCUGAUGAGCUGAGUUAUUGGGGGCAAUGGGGUUUCCCUGGUAGCUCAGAUAAUAAAGAGUCCUCCUGCAAUGCAGGAGACCCGGCUUCCACCCCCAACUCAGGAAGAUGCCCUGGAGAAGGGAACGGCAACCCACUCUAGUAUUCUUGCCUGGAGAAUUCCAUGGACAGACCACGUGGUCGCAAAGAGUCGGACACGACUGAGCAACUAACACUCUUAGCUCUAGACCAGGGAUUGUCAGACUGCGGCCCGGGGGCCAGAUCUGGCUUGAAGCCUGUUUUGUAAAUAAAGUUUUAUUGGAAAACAGCCACAUGCGUUUGUUUCCAUGGUAGCUGUGGCUGCUUUCACACUGCAAGAGCAGAGGUGAAUAGUUACAACAGAAACUGUGUGGCCCACAGAGCUGAAAAUAUUUACCGUCUGACCCUUUAGGGAACAAGUCUGUCAACCUUUGAACUUGAUGGUUAACAAAUGAUAAAUCAAGCCCUGAUUUGUGGUAUUGGCAGGUUUGUAUGAUAUAAAAGGUUCUCCCACUGCAGCCAGUUUCAAGCCUCUGCCGUGAUGUCACUGAAUGCAGAACUGGGAAGAACUGCUAAGAUGUUCAUCACACAGAAAUCCGACACAGAUACAGGAGACGGAAAUGGCAGCAAGAGCAUAGAGAACAGUGGAAGUAUAGUCCAAUCCCUUACAGGCGACGAGUUUUGAGUUUUUAUCGCCUGUGUUUUAUUGUAAUGUAUUUAAUUAUGGGUUUCUAUAAUUUAGUUUUUAAUAAUGGCUGUGUUUAGCAACUGGCUCAUAUAAUUCCUAAAAAUUUAGUCGUUGGUUCUUAUGAACUGAUACAGGCCAACGCUGGUACACUUCUGUCCCCUCCUAAAACUAGACCUCAGGGAAAUGCUAGCUAAACUGUAACAUAGCAACUAUAACAGGUGCUAGAAAUAGGAAGGGAGCUUGGAGCUGGAGCUGGAUUGGUGAGUGCGCUAGAAACAGGAGAGGGCCAGGGGAUAUCAAACCCUCAGGGCUGGAGGGCUUGAUACUCAAACAGGGAUAAGGGCCACAUGUGGGUAUGCACAGGAUUACUGAGACCCAGCGUUAAAUGGGGGCCCUGGAGGGCAGCCUCUAUAUAGAGAUUAGGAAAACAACCCAGGAGCCCUGGUAAUGGCAAGGAACCACAUCUGCCCGGGCAGAUUUUUUAACUCUGAUUUUAUUGGAGCAUAUUGGUUUACGAUGUGGUGUUGGUUUCGGGUGUGCAGCAAAACGUUCCAGUUAUAUGCGUGCACGUGUUCACUCUUUUUCAGGUUCGUUUCUCCUACAGGUUAUCACGGGGCUUCCUUGUGGCUCGGUGGUAAAGAAUCCUCCUGCAAUGCUGGAGACUCGCAGGAGACGUGGGUCCUAUCCCUGGGUCGGGAAGAUCCUCUGGAGAAGGAAAUGGCAACCCACUCCAGUAUUCUUGCCUGGGAAAUCCCAUGGACAGAGGAGCCUGGCCGACUAGAGUCUAUGGGGUCACAAAAGAGCUGGACACCACUAAAGAGCAACAACAUAAGUUAUCACAGACUACUGGGGAGAGUUCCCUGUUCUGUAAGUCGACCCUUAUUGGUUGUCUUUCUUAUACUUAGGAGUGUGUGUAUGUAUGUUCAUCCCAAAUUUCCCCUUUGGUAACCUUAAGCUUGUUUUUGAUAUCUGUAAGUCUAUUUCUGUUUUGUAAAUAAGUUCAUUUUUAUUUAUCAUUUUUUUAAGGUUAGAUUCCAAUAUGAGUGAUAUAUGAUAUUUGUCUUUCCCUGUCUAACUUCAUUUAGUGUGAUAAUCUCUAGGUCCAUCCAUGUUGCUAGAAAUGGCAUUAUCUCCUAUUUUUAUGGCUGAGUAAUGUUCCAUGGUAUACACGCACCCCCGUCGUCUUUACCCAUUCCUCUGUUGGUGGACACCAAGGCUGCUUGCAUGUCUUGACUAUUGUAAGUAGUGCAUCGGAGAAGGAAAUGGCACCCCACUCCAGCGUUCUUGCCUGGAGAAUCCCAGGGACCGGGGAGCCUGGUGGGCUGCCGUCUAUGGGGGUGCACAGAGUCGGACACGACUGAAGCAACUUAGCAGCAGCAGCAGCAGCAGCAAGUGGUGCUGCAGUGAACAUAAGGGUGCUUACAUCUUCUUGGAUUAUGUUUUUCUCCAGAUAUAAAGGGAGAUUUUUUUAAAAGUCUCUUAUGAGAAAUCAGGCUUCCCUGGUGGCUCAGAGGUAAAAGCGUUUGGCUCCAAAGCGGGAGACCCAGGUUUGAUCCCUGGGUUGGGAAGAUUUCCUGGAGAAGGAAAUGGCAACUCACUCUAGUAUUCUUGCCUGGAGAAUCCCAUGGAUGGAGGAGCCUGGUGGGCUGCAGUCCAGGGGGUCACAAAGAGUCGGACACAACUGAGCGGCUUCACUUUCACUUAAGAGAAAUCAAAAUCCCAAGCUUGUGUCCAGUGUAGAUGUGAACCCAGUUUCACACUAUCUGCAGGAUGAGGGGAUUUUAAGUUAAAAAUUACUAUAAAAAUCAUUCCUCGACCAGCAGGAUGCGAGGGCCCAGACAGAGGCUCACAUUUUCCUCUGAUACACAGAUUUCAGGUUCUAAGUCACAGACUGGGAAAAUGAUGUAGCCAACGAAGCUUGAAUCCAGAAAAACAAAGCAAAUUCUACAGCUCAGUAAGAAAUAGACAAGCGAUUCAGUGGGGAAACGAGCAAAGGGUGCAGAAUGAACAAUUUGCCGAAGAGGAAGUAUUUAUGGCCAUUAAAAAGGGGGGAGAAGCUCUACCUCAUCGGUAAUGAAAAAACCAUGAAUUAGCAUCACGAGGCCCUAGCAUGUCAUACCCUACUGAAUUUUCAAAAAUGUUAAAGAUGUUAAAACCAAAUGUUGACAGGGAUGUGGGGAGGUCAGAACCUCAGCCUGCGCUGGUGAGAGUGUAAAAGACACCGCUUGAGGCGUGAGCAGCUUGUUCUCAUUGAAACUGCAGGAACGGAAAAUGGGAAACCUCACUGGUUUUCCAAUGGGGGCUGCUGGGUAAAUUGUGGCAGUAUGCAUACGCUGGAAUGCUAUCUAUCAGAUACAAUGAACAAAACAGACGUAUUAAUGUAGAUAUACUUGGAAAUACUAACAUGAAACAAAAAAAGGUUCAAGAGCCUUUUGUACCCAAUACAGAAUUGUAAAGUAAAAAUAAAGUAAAAAGAAUAAUAAAAAAUAAAUAAAUAAAUGAAAAUAAAGGAGAAGAAAAAAAAAAAGAGGCUUUUGUACCUAAAAAGGAACAGAUGGGACUUUCCAGCAGUUACAACUUCAAGCUUCCACUACAUGGGGCUCAGAUUCAAUCUUUGGUCAGGGAAAUAAAAUUCCACAUGCCACAUGGUGUGGCCAAAAUAAUUUAAAUAAAGCUUGGAAAGAAAAAAGGACUAGAAACACCAAAUAGUGUGGUAUAUAAAUAAAUACACUAAACAACAAAAAAUAUAUAUAUCAAAAGCAUAAACCCAUAGGUGAAGGACACAUACCAGUUUCGGAGUCGUAACUUCCGGAGAGGAAGGAAGGAAGGGAGAUAAGUGGGAGGCAGUGAGGACUCCAGGUGUAUUUAUCAAAAUUUCUUUCCUUCCAAAAAUGUGUGAAGGAAUAUUGCAGAAUGUUAAAAUGUGUGCCCUACUGUUUGGCACGUGAAAGUGAAAGUGAAGUCGCUCAGUCAUGCCGACUCUUUGCGACCCCGUGGACUGUAGCCUACCAAGCUCCUCUCUCCAUGGGAUUCUCCAGGCAAGAAUACUGGAGUGGGGUGCCAUUUCCUUCUCCAGGGGAUCUUUCCAACCCAGGGAUCGAACCCGGGUUUCCUGCAUUGGAGGCACACGCUUUAACCUCUGAGCCACCAGGGAAUCCGUUUGGCAUUUAACCCUUGCUGAUGAAUUCGAGCCUCGGAAGCAGCUGAAGGUCACUCCCUCUCUCCUUCCGCUCAGAGACCAAAGUCAAACGUUCUGUCUGAAAGUCAAAUAUCUGUGGCUGCUUUCUUCAGUGACCUUCGAGAUUCUUCGUCUUCCUUCUUUCAGGUCAA